GGCUCCAUAGUGUAGUGGUUAGCAUGUCUACUUUACACGCAGAAGGUCCUGGGUUCGCGCCCGAGAUGGAGCCA
rnacentral:tRNA from 1 species